AUGCCUAGGAGGUCGACCAUGAAAACCAUUUUCUUGGUACGACAACUUAUGGAGAGAUAUAGGGAGCAAAAGAAGGACUUGCAUAUGGUGUUCAUUGACUUGGAGAAGGCCUAUGAUAAGAUACCGCGGAAUGUCAUGUGGUGGGCCUUGGAGAAACACAAAGUCCCAGCAAAGUACAUUACCCUCAUCAAGGACAUGUACGAUAAUGUUGUGACAAGUGUUCGAACAAGUGAUGUCGACACCGAUGACUUCCCGAUUAAGAUAGGACUGCAUCAGGGGUCAGCUUUGAGCCCUUAUCUUUUUGCAUUGGUGAUGGAUGAGGUCACAAGGGAUAUACAAGGAGAUAUCCCAUGGUGUAUGCUCUUUGCGGAUGAUGUGGUGCUAUUUGACGAUAGUCGGACGGGGUAA
rnacentral:rRNA from 1 species